AUGAAGACUUUUGUUCCUACUUUAUUCAUGUAUCUGUGGUUGAAGUUGGAUGGGGUGAUCCAUGGUGAGCAGGUGGAGCAGCAUCCUUCCACUCUUAGAGUCCAGGAGGGAGACAGAGCUGUCAUCAACUGCACUUACACAGACAGUGCCUCUUACUACUUCUCUUGGUAUAAGCAAGGACCUGGAGAGCAUCCUCAGCUCAUUAUUGACAUUCGUUCACCUGUGGAAAGAAAGCAGGAGCAAAGACUGAUCGUUUUACAGGAUAAGAAAGCCAAACACUUCUCCCUGCACAUCACAGACACCCGGCCUGGAGACUCUGCCCUGUACGUCUGUACUAUAUCUGUGGUGCAGUUUGAAGGGAAAUCAGCAGAGGGCGCUGCCUCUUCAGAUGUGGUUAAUGUCUGCAUCCAGGUGGUGGCUUCACAUGACAGUCACUGUGCAGAAGGAGGCCCUUGUUUAUGA